GUGAAGCUGGAUUCGCUAGUAAUCGCGCAUCAGCCAUGGCGCGGUGAAUACGUUCCCGGGCCUUGUACACACCGCCCGUCAAGCCAUGGGAGCCGGGAGUGCCUGAAGGCCGUGACCGCAAGGAGCGGCCUAAGGUAAAACUGGUGACUGGGGCUAAGUCGUAACAAGGUACC
rnacentral:rRNA from 1 species